GUGCUCCCUUCUGCAGCCCAUAUACUAAAAUUGGAACGAUACAGAGAAGAUUAGCAUGGCCCCUGCACAAGGAUGACAUGCAAAUUCAUGAAGCGUUCCAUAUUUUU
ensembl:snRNA U6 U6 spliceosomal RNA